CAGCCGCCGCGGGAAUACGUAGGUCCCGAGCGUUGUCCGGAUUUAUUGGGCGUAAAGCGAGCGCAGGCGGUUUGAUAAGUCUGAAGUUAAAGGCUGUGGCUCAACCAUAGUUCGCUUUGGAAACUGUCAAACUUGAGUGCAGAAGGGGAGAGUGGAAUUCCAUGUGUAGCGGUGAAAUGCGUAGAUAUAUGGAGGAACACCGGUGGCGAAAGCGGCUCUCUGGUCUGUAACUGACGCUGAGGCUCGAAAGCGUGGGGAGCAAACAGGAUUAGAUACCCGCGUAGUCCCUGUCUCUUAUACC
rnacentral:rRNA from 1 species